GCCUGGAUGGCUUAGUUGGUAGAGCAUGGGACUCGCAAUCUCAGGGUCUUGAGUUGAAGCCCCACAUUGGGUA
rnacentral:tRNA from 1 species